AUGACCCAUAUCAUUAAUUAUAACAUGCAUCCAGACCAGAUAGAUCAGUAUGUAUAUGACAUCUCUUGGUCAUUGCGUACAGGUCAGAAGCUCUUACUACUUGUUGCCGCCACCCUAGUGCUACAUCAUAGUACUACCACUUAUGGAGCUGCGUCCUCUGGGAGCAUCAGCAUGGCACGGCCUGGCUGCCCAGAUAAGUGUGGCAACAUCAGCAUCCCAUACCCAUUUGGCACCGGAAAAGGCUGCUUCCAAGAACCCUUUAAUGUCACGUGCAAUGGGACCGGGGCAUAUCUGGGCUCAAACGGACUUAGGGUACUGGACAUCAGUCUUACCUUGGGUGAGGUUCGUGUUCAGAAUCCACAUAUAGCAUCACGAUGCAACUUCAGCAAUGGCAGCAAUAGCACCAGUGGUUUGGACGUCUUAACUCUUGAUCCUUUUCAUACGGUUUCCAACACCAAGAACAAGUUGACAUCAAUCGGCUGUGGUGGACUUGCAAUGGUUGUGGGACAAGCCAAGGGCAAGAACCAGCUUGAGUACCUCACCGCUGACUCAUGCAUUUCAUCCUGCAUGGACGUAAGCAGCAUCGGUAAUGGCACAGAGUGCUCUGGCAUGGGUUGCUGCCAGGCCCCUGUUUCAGGAAACAUCAACGCCUUCCUCGCCCAAUCCAUACCAGUAUCAGCUAUAUACAACUCUACCAUUCAGUCUUUCAGCCCAUGCACCUACUCAUUCGUUGCUGAGGAUGAUUGGUUCAAAUUUGAUCGUUCUUAUAUCAACUCUACAAAUUUUGGACGAAAAUAUACAGAUGGUGUUCCUUUGGUACUCGAUUGGGUUGUUGGUAAUGGAAGUUGUUCUGAAACCAGCAAGAUGGGUUCACAGUAUGCCUGCCAAGCCAUGAACAGCGAGUGCAUUGAUGUGUCCAAUGGCCCCGGUUACCGCUGCAACUGCUCUCAAGGUUAUGAAGGCAAUCCCUACUUACAAGGAGGGUGCAAAGACAUCAAUGAGUGCGAACCUCCAAACCAGUCCUUGUAUCCUUGCAAAGGUAAUUGCAGAAACACCGUUGGGAGCUACACCUGUUCAUGCUCAUCAGGAUUUAGGAGCGAUGAUCCAAAGAGCAUACCCUGCGUUCAAGCUGACCCAAACAAAGCUCUGAAGGUGGCCUUAGGCACAUCCGCCGGUGUCGUCUUCCUCAUGGUUUGCAUGUUUGCUCUACGGGCUGAAUAUCAGAAAAGGAAGCUGGUGAAAGAGAAGGAAAGAUUCUUUGAUCAGAAUGGUGGUCAGAUAUUAUACCAUCAAAUUAUGUCAAAACAGGUCGAUACAUUGAUGAUAUUCACUCAGGAAGAUCUAAAGAAGGCUACAAAUGAUUUUGAUGAGAGCAGAGAAGUGGGCAGGGGCGGUCAUGGCACUGUGUACAAGGGUGUUCUUAAGGAUGGAAGAGUAAUAGCCGUGAAGCGCUCCAAGAUCAUGAAUGUGGCUGAAACUGAUGAAUUUGUGCAGGAGAUUAUCAUACUUUCACAGACCAACCACCGGAAUGUGGUCAGGCUUCUAGGGUGCUGCUUAGAGGUGGAAGUCCCCAUACUAGUCUAUGAAUUCAUCCCGAAUGGCACUCUUUUUGAGUUCAUCCAUCGUAACCGUGGGACUCCACCUCCCUCGCUGGACACCCGGCUCAGGGUCGCUCAAGAAUCUGCUGAAGCACUCGCAUAUCUGCAUCUGUCCAUGAACCGCCCCAUAGUGCAUGGAGAUGUCAAGUCCAUGAACAUUCUCUUGGACGAAAACUACAUGGCGAAGGUGACUGACUUUGGGGCAUCAAGGACACUCCCCAAGAAUGAGGUUCAGUUCAUGACAUUGGUGCAGGGGACCCUGGGUUACCUGGAUCCCGAGUACCUGCAGGAACGGCAGCUCACGGAGAAGAGCGACGUUUACAGCUUCGGUAUUGUGCUGCUGGAGCUGAUCACGGGGAAGACGGCGAUCUACCACGACGGCCCCAAGGAAGGCAAGAGCCUCGCGUCGUCCUUCCUGCUCGCGAUGAAGGAGGAGAGCCUCGAUGGCAUCCUGGACGCGAGCAUACUAAGCGCCGGGAUGGAGACGCUGCUGAGAGAAGUCGCCGAGCUUGCGAGGAUGUGCUUGAGCACCAGGGGGGAAGAGAGGCCUUCCAUGACCCAGGUUGCUGACAAGCUGAAGGCUCUGCGAAGCACCUGGAGGGAGAAAUUGCUGCUGACGCACGGCGAGACUGACCGUUUGGUAUCGUCACCUGCAGCUUUGGCGUUUCAUGAUCCUCCGUCAUGGAUCAUGUUCUCGACUGGUCCCCGCAUGUCUGGAAUAGGUAUAGAGACACCCAGAUGA
rnacentral:rRNA from 1 species